AGCAGCCGCGGUAAUUCCAGCUCCAAUAGCGUAUAUUAAAGUUGUUGCAGUUAAAAAGCUCGUAGUUGAAUUUCGGGGUCAGUAGGUCGGUCGUGCCACUGGUAUGCACUGGUCUCACUGGUUCCUCCUUCCUGAUGAACCGUAAUGCCAUUAAUUUGGUGUUGCGGGGAAUCUGGACUGUUACUUUGAAAAAUUAGAGUGUUUAAAGCAGGCUAACGCUUGAAUACAUUAGCAUGGAAUAAUGAAAUAGGAGGAUCGAUCCUAUUUUGUUGGUUUCUAGGAUUGACGUAAUGAUUAAUAGGGAUAGUUGGGGGCAUUAGUAUUCAAUUGUCAGGGGUGAAAUUCUUGGAUUUAUUGAAGACUAACUACUGCGAAAGCAUUUGCCAAGGAUGUUUUCAUUAAUCAAGAACGAAAGUUAGGGGAUCGAAGACGAUCAGAUACCGUCGUAGUCUUAACCAUAAACUAUGCCGACU
rnacentral:rRNA from 1 species